rfam:Carnobacterium divergens DSM 20623 NODE_30, whole genome shotgun sequence.
GGUUGGGCGCAAGCUUUCAAGAUCUAGUUCUCCAAGGGUGAGGAGAA